CCCAUGGACCGAUAUGUGGUUAAACGCCCCCAGGGUGAGGCGGAGGGAGGCGGGAAGAGGCCGCGGCCGGCGGAGCCCCCCUCAGGGCAGCCCCCCUGGCAGGAGAUCCGAGCUGAGGGCCUGAACUGCGACUACCGGCUCCUCUUCGGCAAGGCCGAGGCUGACGAGAUCUUCCAGCGGCUGGAGGAGGAGGUGGAGUACUUCGAAGGUGAAAUGACAAAAUUGCACGUGUUUGGCAAAUGGCAUGACAUCCCAAGGAAACAGGUAACCUAUGGAGACCCUGAGUUAACAUACACUUACUCGGGCGUUACCUUUUCUCCGAAGCCGUGGAUCCCAGUUCUCAACCGUAUCAGAGACCGCAUCGCUUCGGACACUGGACAUACUUUUAACUUUGUUCUUAUUAACAGAUAUAAAGACGGUGGGGACCACAUCGGUGAGCAUCGAGAUGAUGAGAGAGAACUGGUUCCACGCAGCCCUAUUGCCUCUGUGUCCUUUGGAGCUUGCAGGGACUUUGUUUUCAGGCACUGUGAUUCCAGAGGGAAAAAUGCAACGCGCCACAUGAAGCCCAUCAAACUGCAGCUGGCCCACGGCAGCCUGCUGAUGAUGAAGUACCCCACCAACGUGUAUUGGUACCACAGCCUGCCCGUCCGCAAGAGGGUACUUGCCCCAAGAAUCAACCUCACAUUUCGGAAAGUGAUGACUGUAGCCAAGAAGUGAAUUAUACACCAAUCAAGCACCUGGUUGUUUUUUUUUUAACUCCGAAAAUAGGAGCUUUCUUCCCUGACAUAACUCUCAAUUUCUCAUUCAAACGCUGACUUUGAUGAUCCAAGCUACCAGAUGAGCAAAUUAAACCAGGAGAGGAGAUAGUGUACUUAGUAAUUUGUUAAUAAAGACUGUGACUACUGAUCUUAAAUGCCAAGAAUACUUUGUGAAAUGCUGCUGUAGUCCUGCUGGUACAUCUUUUAAAUGAGUAAUACCCUUGUUUUGCUCAGGAGGAAGUUUGUUCUCAACUGAUCUUAAUCUAACCAGUUUUCCGAAAAGAUCAAAAUACUCUAUAUCCCUCAGAUAGCAGUGAAGGAGUUUGUAAACACUGUAGAGUACAAGAUGCAGUCAUUUAGAGUGAGCCUGGAAGCUGAUGCUGUUCAACAGGUCCUUUGUACAGAAACCAGGGAGCAGAAGAUGGCCUUUUGGGGAAAGACCGGGUUGGACCAUUUAUAUAGACAACGCAGCGUGAAAGGCUGUAAUUUCUGAGAAUGUCUGUUUUUCUAAAUAAUCAUCCCUAGGGGUUCCAUCCUGACUACCUGAGAGACAUCUCCUUCCAUGCUGGCAGUGAAUCCUGCUGAAAUGAGGAAAGACUGAAGUCACCAUCAGGCGUUGAGGAGCCAAGCACUGAAUCCCUCUUGCCUGAAUCUGAAAUCAAAGGGAAAAAAAUAAAGCCAGUUGGUUACCUGCUGUCAGCACGCUGCAGGCAACAGUGACUGUCUAUCAAGAACUAUGGUUCUCUUCAUCUCCCUGCUCUGGAUAACUGGACUGCAAUUUAAUUUGGCUUUGCGUGUGCAAGCUCAAUGCUGCAUGUUGAAUGAAUAGCUAUUCCUAAACCACUACCUGUCAUUAUAGAACAGCUUUGAAGACACAGGGAAAAUAUCUUCAGUUUCUAAACAGCCAUUUUAUACCCCACACACUUGGGAAUCUAGGCAGACUGCAGAAAUUUCUCCUGAUAAUGAAAUAACAUCAGUAAAGAAGUCACCUCCAGCGAAUGCACAUCGAACAAAUGUGUCACACGUGGUUGCCGAUCCCGUUCAUCCUCUAACGAAGAGGUAAGGACAUGAAAUAGCUCAUGGGCAUCCUAUUAAAUAGAGGCAUGAGACUUAGAGGAAGCAGAAACAAAAGACAUUUUACAUUAAUAGUAGUCAUUUGUGCACCUGCUGCAGUUUUGCCAAAAAAGCUUUUUCUAUAAAGCUGAACUUCCAUUAUUAAAAAUAUUCUGGGCCGUAUAAAAUCUCUCAAAAGAGACUAAUACUUGGAGAAAGAAAGAAAGAAAAAUUAAUGGACAAAUGCCUGCUUUCCUUAAUUUCAAUAAAAGUGCAUUUGAGAUCUAUGCUGUUUGCUUUGGCUCUGAGAUAUACAAGAUAGACCCAUGUUUUAUGAGUGAGAUAAUUGGUCGAGGUCAUUGGC